rnacentral:rRNA from 1 species
CGUAGGGUGCAAGCGUUAAUCGGAAUUACUGGGCGUAAAGCGUGCGCAGGCGGUGAUGUAAGACAGGUGUGAAAUCCCCGGGCUUAACCUGGGAACUGCAUUUGUGACUGCAUCGCUGGAGUGCGGCAGAGGGGGAUGGAAUUCCGCGUGUAGCAGUGAAAUGCGUAGAUAUGCGGAGGAACACCGAUGGCGAAGGCAAUCCCCUGGGCCUGCACUGACGCUCAUGCACGAAAGCGUGGGGAGCAAACAGGAUUAGAUACCCUGGUAGUCCACGCCCUAAACGAUGUCAACUGGUGUUGGGUCUUCACUGACUCAGUAACGAAGCUAACGCGUGAAGUUGACCGCCUGGGGAUACGGCCGCAAGGUUG